rnacentral:rRNA from 1 species
ACGCUCGACACCUACGGGAGGCAGCAGUUGGGAAUAUUGGACAAUGGAGGAAACUCUGAUCCAGUGACGCCGCGUGAAGGAAGAAGGUCUUCGGAUUGUAAACUUAUUUUGUCAGGGAAGAAAAAAUGACUGUACCUGAAGAAAAAGCACCGGCUAACUACGUGCCAGUAGCCGCGGUAAUCUGAGCGGGCUGGCAAGC